AACGAGUGCUCUAUGGAUUGAACAUAAAAUGUAGUAUAAACAAGUGUUAUGUUUUUAAAUGCCACUAAUAAUGUGUUUCUGUUUUCUUUCUCAUUAUGCUAACAAACACUCUUUUACCCCUCAUGUUAGGUAGAUCAACACUCCAACCAUCUGCAUUAGGGACUGAAUAAAGGAUGCCCUCUGUAGCUGGGAAUGUUAGAUCAGGCGGAUCAACAUUCCAUCCAUCUGCAUUAGGAUCUACCUUAGAGACACUCACUGGAGCUGUAAAUGGGAAGCAGGUCACUUACUUUGCAUUCGUCCUUGGUGGUCACCCAAGGGUCUCUAGAGUGAAAAUUACUCAAUCUAUGGAUUAAACAGAAAAUUUAGUUGUAUGAAGUGCAAUUUGGGACAUUCUUCCAGUUGUCGGCAACUUUGUGAAAAAGGCUGGAAACUUAAAUGCAGAAUUCUGGCCUGGUGUUUGGUCUGUUCUGUUUUUGGCUCUUGCAUCUCCAUCAUCCUGACCCUCUUUAGCAGCCUGUCCAUGUAUUUAUUUGGAGCCACCAUGAGCACCCAUCUGCAUAAUAUGACUUUGUUACUCAGAUGUCCAUGCGCUCCUACAAAUUCUACAUUUUUUGUAAAGCUGCAACAAGUUGAAACCCUAUAAUUAUUAACGUUUGAUUUUGAACUAUGUAAUUCAAAUACAUGAAUAAGUAACAAAAGCAGAAAUUUAUUAAGAUAUUACCUUUUUGUUGCUUGUUUACUGAUCUAUCAAUCCUUUUGCAUUUUCAUAAUUGUUCAUCAUAACUUGGUAUACAGUUGAUGUGUGGCUGCAGAUAACUUUCUGAAGUCAAUUUAAAAAGACAAAAGUUAAUAAAAGCUGAAUUGGUCAAAUAUACAUUGUUGUAUUUUCACCAUUUUGAUGUUUAGGCAUUUCAUAACUUGAGGGUUAAUUCACGUAUAGUUGUUAUUAAUGACAGCUAAUCAUUUUAUAAAGAUUUUUAUUACAAUAUUUAUUUAUAUAAUAUCAAUUUAAUACAUUUAAUUCGUUACACCUACAUUACUGAGCGCAAGGGAGUGCAGCCAACAAAUACAUUCAGGUGUGUUCGACUUAACACCGAGAUGCGCAGACAGCACGUGGUAUGACAUCAAAAAACCGCGAGAGUUUGGGAAAGCCCCGGAAAAGGUUUGAUCUCGCGGUACUUGAUGUCACGAUCGGUUUGCGUGUAGAUCAGCAUGAAGUAGAACACAUCUGAAAGAUGUGUGGGCUGCCUGCACUCAACGUUGCGAUAAUUCAGUAGAGUCUAACCUCAAUCGGUUUUUGCAGCUUUUGGGUGUCGUGUCGAACGAUCGCAGAACGAUUUUUUGUUCUUUUCCAACUCGAUUUUUAACUCCCUAGACUAGUAGGAUGUUCCAACGGGUGAAGCAACAGUGCUGACGGCAGAGUUUCAGUGUCAAUUUUUCAUGCCAUGAUCACUGGGGCGGAAACCAUUAUGACGUUGCCUUGGACAUCAAACUAAACCAUCUCAUUCUGGCUUUUUUCUAACAUUGAAAUCUCAGAAGGCCAGGACUAAGAUGGACGCAGCCUCCACAUGCAACCUUGCAUUUGAGGAACACCCAUAGAACGGUCAACUUACCCCAUACUCUAACCUGAAUGCAGGGAUCAUAAAACUUUAUCUUUUACCUUAAUUGUUAGAUGGGUGUUGAUACCAAACUUUUUUGUCUCGUCUACCCAGGAGAAAGUCAUGGGUUCUGCUGCUGAGUGUCUUUUAUUCUGCUUACCGGACUCAUUCAGAAUUCUGGCUUGAUGUUUGGUCCACCUGUUAGCUGGCUCUGGUGCUUGGUAGUCUUCUCAAACCUCUGAAUCAAGGCCACCAUGAGAGGCCUUCUGAAGACCAUCAUUACGCUUCAGAUCCAGUUGUCUUAACUAUGAGAUAGAACUGAACUGGAGUCUGUGAACUAAUGCUGUGUUCGAGACAACUGGAACAGCAAACAAAGUUGAGUAUCCGACCUCUCAACUUGUGACUGAUCGAUCAGCACCAACCUCAACGAGAUGCAUCAUUUGACAUUGCAGACAAGAUCCUUUCUCUUUUUAAUGCAGCACUUAAGGAUGAACCACCCUGAUCUACUAAGAUGCACAGAUUCAACUCUGGCCCAGCAUCAUCCCCACACCUCAUCUGCCAUCAGUUUAAUUUAAUGUCUGUCAAUUGCAAAUGCUAUUUAUUUCAGUUAUAUUACAACUUAAUGUUAACUUUAAUUGAGACUAGUAUUGUGUAAAGCUGGGGUUUCCAAACUUUUCAUUUCAAAACCUAUUAGACAAGUGUAAUCUAUUCUAGACCCACUAAAAUAUUUUUACAUAUACAUUUUUUUAAUGGGGUAAAACACAUUUGUUCUCUUUCAGUGGAGUCAUUUUAUUUUCAUAAUAUUUCAUAAUGUAAAGCAGUGGUUCUUAACGUUAUUCCUCGAGGCCCAUUGCUCUGCACAUUUUGUAUGUCUCUUUUAUCUGACAGACUCAGUUCAGUUCAUUGAGAUCUCUUCUAAUGAGCUGAUGAUUUGAAUCAGGUGUGU